rnacentral:rRNA from 1 species
AUUGAACGCUGGCGGCAGGCUUAACACAUGCAAGUCGAACGAGUGGCGGACGGGUGAGUAAUGCUUGGGAAUCUAGCUUAUGGAGGGGGAUAACUACGGGAAACUGUAGCUAAUACCGCGUACCAUAGGAUGAGCCCAAGUGGGAUUAGGUAGUUGGUGAGGUAAAGGCUCACCAAGCCGACGAUCUCUAGCUGGUCUGAGAGGGUGACCAGCCACACUGGGACUGAGACGCGGCCCAGACGCCUACGGGAGGCAGCAGUGGGGAAUAUUGCGCAAUGGGGGCAACCUGACGCAGCCAUGCCGCGUGAAUGAAGAAGGCCUUCGGGUUGUAAACCGCUUUCAGCCAUGACGCGGCAGUGGCAGAAGAAGCACCGGCUAACUACGUGCCAGCCGCCGCGGUAAUAC